rnacentral:rRNA from 1 species
AUUGAACGCUGGCGGCAUGCCUUACACAUGCAAGUCGAACGGCAACGCGGGGCAACCUGGCGACGAGUGGCGAACGGGUGAGUAAUGUAUCGGAACGUGCCCAGUUGUGGGGGAUAACUGCUCGAAAGAGCAGCUAAUACCGCAUACGACCUGAGGGUGAAAGCGGGGGAUCGCAAGACCUCGCGCAAUUGGAGCGGCCGAUAUCAGAUUAGGUAGUUGGUGGGGUAAAGGCUCACCAAGCCGACGAUCUGUAGCUGGUCUGAGAGGACGACCAGCCACACGGGGACUGAGACACGGCCCAGACUCCUACGGGAGGCAGCAGUGGGGAAUUUUGGACAAUGGACGCAAGUCUGAUCCAGCCAUGCCGCGUGCGGGAAGAAGGCCUUCGGGUUGUAAACCGCUUUUGUCAGGGAAGAAAAGGCUCCUUCUAAUAUAGGGGGCUCAUGACGGUACCUGAAGAAUAAGCACCGGCUAACUACGUGCCAGCAGCCGCCGUAA